rnacentral:misc_RNA from 1 species
UUUGCUGUUCAUGGUGACAUCACGGCCAGCUUUUACCACUCUUUCCUGCUUGUCAUUCUGCAAUAAUAUAAAAAUUGAUUGGUGAGCAUGGUAUAAUUUCAAUAAUAAUUAAUUAAUGAUAAGAGAGAUAUCAAACCAUGCAAUAUCAAAAGAAAAUAAAUAUUUUGUAGAGUAUUUCCAUAGAGUAAAAUCUUGCAUGAGG